CGGGUGAGUAAUGUAUGGGGAUCUGCCUGAUGGCGGGGGAUAACUACUGGAAACGGUAGCUAAUACCGCAUAAUGCCUGCGGACCAAAGCGGGGGACCUCCGGGCCUCGCGCCAUCAGAUGAACCCAUAUGGGAUUAGCUAGUAGGUGGGGUAACGGCUCACCUAGGCGACGAUCCCUAGCUGGUCUGAGAGGAUGACCAGCCACACUGGAACUGAGACACGGUCCAG
rnacentral:rRNA from 1 species